rnacentral:ncRNA from 2 species
CGAUACCCCGUGGGAGAGCUCGGCAGAGGCCGACGCCGAAGGCGCAAAUCCGCCCGGAAUCGCUCAGGCAAAAGGACCGCGGGGAGUGG